rnacentral:rRNA from 1 species
AACGUAGGAGGCGAGCGUUAUCCGGAUUUACUGGGCGUAAAGCGCACGCAGGCGGGUCUGCAAGUCGGUUGUAAAAGCUCCUGGCUUAACUGGGAGAGGCCAAUCGAAACUGCAGGGCUUGAGGUUGGGAGAGGGGUGCGGAAUUCCCGGUGUAGCGGUGGAAUGCGUAGAUAUCGGGAGGAACACCAGUGGCGAAGGCGGCACCCUGGCCCACACCUGACGCUGAGGUGCGAAAGCGUGGGGAGUAAACAGG